AGAAAGAUGUUGAAUUAUCAGCAAAACAGCAACACCUCAUUUCUGUUGACUGAUAACAAUGUAACGUUAUACUCGAGACGUAACAUAAGAGAGCAACAGGGUCAGGAAUUAACACUAAACUCUUCAGGCAUUUUGUUAUAGCAGAAGGAACAAGACAAAUUCAUUUAGAGCUGGAUAUUGUGGUUCGUCGACGAGAUUUUGGUUGAGUUUCAAGCCAUUUCGAGGUCGUCAUUAUGUGGAAGUAUCUCGUAGUUUUGAUGUUGGUUUAUAACUACAUCGAGUCAGUAACGAGUCAAGCUUGUUCUCGUGCUUCGAUGAUCCGCGAUGGGACGUGUACAACCCAGUGUGCACCCUCCGCGGGAUGUCCUGAACCAGACUCUGACUGUCUGUGUGAUUCCCAAUGUGGAUAUAGCUGCGUCAAAAAAGGUCUGUCUUGUGGUCCGGCCCCAACCAUACGUAAUGCGGACCUAACAUCAUCUGGGACAGCCUUUAAUGAUACUGUGGUAUACACAUGUCAGUCUGGUUAUACCAUAAAUGGUGAUGACGUAAGGAGAUGUACUGCUAAAGGAACGUGGAGUGGAGUUGGUCCUACAUGUUUGCCCGUUUGCCAGCAGCCCGACUUGCCAUUUGGCUCGUACGUGAAGACUAACAUCAAGUCAGAGUACAAGACAGGAGAGAGUAUUACGCUUGACUGUAAAACGGGCUUCAUAAAGGAGGGUAAUCCAAGAAGAAUUUGUAUAUCUGGAAGGUGGACAGCAUUUCCAUUUGAAUGCAAAGCAACACAUUCCUGUCCAAGAACAAUCCGCGCCUCUCGAACCAGGUGUACUAAUAAAUGUUCCCCCGACGAUCCUGUUGGGUGUCCCGCGGGACACAGAUGUCUUUGUGACGGGCAGUGCGGCUACAGUUGUGUUGAGCAAGGUCUGCAGUGUCCUUCCCCCACUCGAGUUAAGAACGCUCUUAUAAAAUUCAAUAACACUGGAUACAAUGACACUGUAACGUACAAGUGUCAAGAGAACUUCACCCUCAACGGCGAUAGAGUACGAAGAUGUACAGCCAAGAAGAGAUGGGGAGGAGCAGUACCUUCCUGUUUACCGGACUGCGGCCAGCCAAGAGUUCCUCAACACGCCUACAUCGAAAACAAGAAGUCUAAAUACGCCUCUGGUGAUCGAGUGACGUUCAAAUGUGAUGCAGGUUACAAUCAAGAAGGAAUAUCAACAACAUUGUGUUUCAUGGGAAGGUGGAAUGUAAUGCCUUUUAGAUGUGAUAAGGGAGGAUGUGGGGAUCCUGGUACACCAGANAACGGCAAUAAAGUAGGAAUAUCUUACGCACCAGGAAGGGAAGUGUUNUUCUCUUGUAACAUUGGAUACGUUCGUGUUGGUUCUGAAAAAAGAAGAUGUCUUCAUAACAACACGUGGAGUGGUACACAACCAACCUGUAAACUCAUCGAUUGUGGACCGCCUCAAGUACUAAAGAACGGAACUGUAAUCGGUAGUGAGACGACCUUCCAAAAAUCUAUCUCUUUUAAAUGUGAUGAAGGAUUCGAGUUGGACGGAAAUCCUAGUGCUAUCUGCCAGUCAGACGGAAAAUGGAGCAUAGAACCGAAGUGUAUCCCUGUAGACUGUGGUAGCUUGGAUGCCCCUUUACAUGGAUCCAAAAUCGGCAAUCAAUCCACCUUUACAAACAAGAUACUAUUCUCUUGUGACCCUGGCUACAAAUUGGUUGGAUCAGCUGUUAGAUAUUGUCCUUUUACUGGAGUAUGGGACGGCGUUCAGCCUACAUGUCAGGCGUUGGACUGUGGUGUUCUUAAAGCUCCUAUGAACGGAUCAAUUCAGGGCGAUAAAUGGACUUAUCCAAACUCGGUCAGUUUUGACUGUGAUAAGGGAUUUGAUUUGAUUGGCUCCUCUGUGCGCACGUGUCAGACGAAUGGAAUCUGGGGGGGACAAACAGUUCGCUGUCAAGCGGUUGACUGUGGAAAACUUGUAAUACCACAAAACGGAUCUCUGACCGGAAGUCAGACAACGUAUCCAGCGACAAUAAAAUUCCAAUGCGAUGAAGGUUUCCUGUUGAAAGGUUCAAAGUACAGAAAAUGUCAAGCUGAUCGAACAUGGAGUGGGAAGCUCACCUCUUGUGAAGCUGUUAGCUGUGGCAAACCAGCUUUUGUGGAGUAUGGACGCCCUUUUGGUGGAGGAAUGACGUACCCUAACGUUAUCGUCUAUAAGUGCGAAGAAGGGUACCUGCUGAAUGGACCAAAAACUAGACAAUGUCAGGCUAAUGGAACAUGGAGUGGAAGAGAUCCAACAUGUGAUGCCAUCAGCUGUGGUGUCCUAAAUGCUCCAAUAAAUAGUUCCAAGAUCGGUAACGUCUACACGUAUCCUAACGAUGUCACAUUUUCCUGUGAUCAAGGCUUUGAUUUGAUUGGCUCAAAAAGCCGCGUGUGUCUGUCAGACGGUUCCUGGAGUGGAGAAGACACUUUCUGUAAAGCGGUUGACUGUGGUCCUCUUGCUGUUCCUAUGAAUGGUUCAUUGAAGGGCUCCUUGACAACCUUCCCUACUGUCGUCAUGUUUGACUGUGAUAGGGGAUUCAGGAUGAAAGGAUCUACAUCAAGAAGAUGCCAAGCCAAUAGAAGAUGGAGUGGCAGUCUCUCGACUUGUGAAGCUGUGGACUGCGGUCCUCUAAAACGACCAAUGAACGGGUUCAUCCUUGGCUCAGCUACAGUUUUCCCCAACAAAAUAUCAUUCUCCUGUGAUGUUGGAUUUCUGUUGAGAGGAUCACAGCAGAGGGAGUGUCAGGCAAAUGGAAAGUGGAGUGGCAAGGCCACAAGGUGUGAAGCUGUCGACUGUGGGUAUCUUCCUGCACCGAGGAACGGAUCGAAAAGAGGAGAUUUAACGUACUUCCCGAACAGAGUGAUUUUCUACUGCGACAAGGGGUUCAAGUUAAUAGGAUCAAAAAUAAGAACUUGCUUGGGGAAUGGAAACUGGAGUGGAAGGACCACGUACUGUGAAGGUGUAGAGUGUGGUCGUCUAGCUGUACCAACGAACGGAUCAAUGGUGGGCAACAAAUUUUUCUAUCCAAACGAAAUCAAGUUUUCGUGUGACAAAGGGUUUGUGUUAAGAGGAUCGUCUUUAAGAAAAUGCUUGCAUUUCAGAAUGUGGAGUGGAUACUCAACUCAUUGUGAAGCAAUCGACUGUGGUCCUCUAUCUAUUCCUGUGAAUGGCACUAUCCGUGGAAACCUCACUGAUUACCCGAACACAAUCAAGUUUAUUUGCAAUCGAGGGUUUGACUUGAUUGGCUCUAAAGAAAGAGAAUGUUUGUCCAAUGGAACCUGGAGUGGAACAAAGUCAUUGUGUAAAGCUAAAAACUGUGGCCCUCUGGUCGCGCCCAUGAAUGGCACCAUGAUAGGCAAAAAGACGGUAUUCCCGAACAUCAUAAGGUUUAUGUGUGACGAAGGGUUUGAGAUGUUUGGAUCUCCAAUAAGGAAAUGUCUAGCAAGUGGAAAGUGGAACGGAAUGCGACCGAAGUGCAGAGCUGUGAAUUGUGGUGUACUUCCAUUACCAAAGAAUGGUUCAGUUUAUGGUAGCAAGACUGUUUUUCCGAACACUAUAAGAUUUAGUUGUGAUGAAGGAUUUGAUUUAAUUGGUUCAGCUGCUCGAACAUGUCUACCCAAUGGAACUUGGAGUGGACGCAUGACAUCCUGCAAAGCUGUCGAUUGUGGUCCUCUUUCUGCUCCUCAAAAUGGAUCCAAACAAGGAAGCUUGACCGUGUUUCCAAACAGCAUUACAUUCAACUGCGACGAGGGGUUUGAUUUGAUUGGAUCAUCUUUACUGUUUUGUACAUCGAAUAGAACAUGGGAUGGUUUCCAUCCAAUCUGCAAGGCCGUUGAUUGCGGUCCUCUUGCUCUUCCACAAAAUGGUUCCAAACACGGAAGCUUGACAGUUUUUCCCAAUACCAUCGCCUUCAGCUGUGACGAAGGGUUUCUUCUUCGUGGUUCGUCGUCACGUAUCUGCCAGGCCAACAGGACAUGGAGUGGUAUCCUUACUCGAUGUGAAGCGAUCGAUUGUGGUCCUCUUGCUGUACCCAUGAAUGGAACGAUGGAAGGAACAAAGACUGUAUUUCCAAACAUUCUUACAUUCAGUUGCGAUGAAGGCUUUGAUCUCCUGGGGUCAUCCCAACGGACAUGUUUGUCAAAUGGAAACUGGAGUGGUACUCAACCAACAUGUCAAGCUGUUGAUUGUGGUCGUCUUGCUGUUCCUCAAAAUGGAUCGCUUGAAGAAUCUUCUACGGUCUUUCCUAACGUCAUCACCUUCAGCUGUGACGAAGGUUUCCUUCUUCGUGGUUCAUCGUCUCGUGUCUGCCAGGCCAACAGGACAUGGAGUGGUAGCUUGACGCAUUGUGAAGCCAUAGAUUGUGGUCCCCUGGCCGUGCCCAUGAAUGGGUCAAUGUAUGGAAGCAGCACGGUGUAUCCAAACAGCAUAGAGUUUAAAUGUGAUGAAGGAUUCGACUUACUCGGACCGCCUGUGCGCAUAUGUUUGUCGAAUGGAAAAUGGAAUGGCAAUCAAACAACGUGUAAAGCUGUUGACUGCGGUCAUCUUGCUGUCCCACAAAAUGGAUCCAAAUACGGAAGCGUGACAGUUUUUCCCAAUACGAUCAAGUUCAGCUGUGAUGAAGGGUUUCUUCUUCGUGGUUCAUCGUCGCGUGUCUGCCAGGCCAACAGGACAUGGAGUGGAAUGCUUGCGCGAUGUAAAGCUGUAGAUUGUGGCGCCUUGGAUGCUCCCCGAAAUGGAUCACUUCAAGGAGCUUUAACGGUGUUUCCUAAUAUCAUCACCUUCAGCUGUGACGAAGGGUUUCUUCUUCGUGGUUCAUCGUCUCGUGUCUGCCAGGCAAACAGGACAUGGAGUGGUAGCAUGACACGAUGUGAAGCUGUUAAUUGUGGCCAGCUUGCUGUACCCAUGAAUGGAUCAAUGUAUGGAAACAAAACAGUCUUCCCACAUAUUAUCAAGUUUACAUGUGACGAAGGGUUCGAUUUGAUUGGCUCAUCGGUGCGUUCGUGCUUAUCAAAUGGAAAGUGGAGCGGCAAUCGAACGAUCUGCGAAGCGGUGGACUGUGGUCCUCUUGCUCUUCCACAAAAUGGGUCCAAACACGGAAGCUUGACAGUGUUUCCCAAUACGAUCAAGUUCAGAUGUGACGAAGGUUUUCUUCUUCGUGGUUCGUCGUCACGUAUCUGCCAGGCCAACAGGAUAUGGAGUGGUAUCCUUACACGAUGUGAAGCUAUAAACUGUGGUGCCCUGUCUGUGCCUAUGAAUGGAUCCCAGUUUGGAAGUAGUACCGUGUUCCCCAACAGUAUAACAUUCAAGUGCGACAAAGGAUUUGAUUUGAUUGGAUCGUCUGUGCGUAACUGUUUGUCAACUGGCAAAUGGGACGGCAACAGCACUACCUGCAGAGCGGUUGACUGCGGUGCUCUGGCAGUUCCACAAAAUGGAUCCAAACACGGAAGCUUGACAGUGUUUCCCAAUACGAUCAAGUUCAACUGUGACGAAGGGUUUCUUCUUCGUGGUUCAUCGUCACGUGUCUGCCAGGCCAACAGGACAUGGAGUGGUAUCCUUACACGAUGUGAAGCUAUCAACUGUGGUCCUCUUAUCACGCCCAUCAAUGGAUCAGUUAUAGGAAACGAAACAGUGUUCACUAACAGUCUUAAAUUCAGCUGUGAUCAAGGUUUUGACAUUCUUGGAUCUUCUAGACGAACCUGUCUGUCCAAUGGAACCUGGAGUGGAACAAUUGCAACAUGUAAAGCUGUUGACUGUGGUCCUCUUGCUGUCCCACAAAAUGGUUCCAAACAUGGACGCUUGACAGUGUUUCCCAAUACGAUCACCUUCAGCUGUAACGAAGGGUUUCUUCUUCGUGGUUCAUCGUCACGUAUCUGCCAGGCCAACAGGACAUGGAGUGGUAUCCUUACACGAUGUGAAGCAAUAGAUUGUGGCUUUAUUCCUGCUCCAUUGAACGGAUCCAUAUUUGGCAACCACACUAUCUUCCCAAACAGCAGAACGUUUCACUGUGACGAAGGAUUCGAUUUGAUUGGCUCAUCUUUAAGAACCUGUUUAUCGAACGGAAAUUGGAGUGGCACUCAACCUUCAUGUAGAGCGGUUGAUUGUGGUCCUCUUGCUGUCCCACAAAAUGGAUCCAAACACGGAAACUUGACAUUGUUCCCCAAUACGAUCGCCUUCAAAUGUUACGAAGGGUUUCUUCUUCGUGGUUCAUCAUCACGUGUCUGCCAGGCCAACAGGACAUGGAGUGGAAGCUUGACGCGUUGCGAAGCCGUAGAUUGUGGUUCCCUUUUUGCUCCAAUGAACGGAUCCUUCUAUGGAAACAAAACGUUCUUCCCUAACAGCAUAAAAUUCGAAUGUGAUGCCGGAUUUGACCUCCUCGGAUCAUCAGAGAGGACCUGCCUUUCAAGUGGACAAUGGAGUGGAAACAUGACAUCAUGCAAAGCUGUUGACUGUGGUCUUCUUGCUGCCCCACAAAAUGGAUCCAAACGUGGAAGCUUGACAGUGUUUCCCAAUACGAUCACCUUCAGCUGUGACGAAGGGUUUCUCCUUCGUGGUUCAUCGUCACGUGUCUGCCAGGUCAACAGAACAUGGAGUGGAAUCCUUACUCGAUGUGAGGCUGUGGACUGUGGAUCGCUUACUGUGCCUGUUAACGGCUCAAUGACUGGAAAUAUAACAACCUUUCCUAACAACCUAAGGUUUUGCUGUGACGAGGGUUUUGACCUUCUUGGGUCAUCUGUGAGGACUUGCUUGUCAAUUGGAAAGUGGAGUGGCAACAUGACAACAUGUAAAGCUGUUGACUGCGGUCAUCUUGCUGUACCGCAAAAUGGAUCUAAACACGGAAGCUUGACAGUUUUUCCCAAUACGAUCGGCUUCAGCUGUGACGAAGGGUUUCUUCUUCGUGGUUCAUCGUCACGUGUCUGCCAGGCCAACAGGACAUGGAGUGGUAUCCUUACACGAUGUGAAGCAAUCGAUUGUGGUCCUCUUGCUGUACCCAUGAAUGGAACAAUGCAAGGAACAAAGACUGUAUUUCCCAACAUUCUUACAUUCAGUUGCGAUGAAGGCUUUGAUCUCCUGGGGUCAUCCAAACGGACAUGUUUGUCAAAUGGAAACUGGAGUGGUACUCAACCAACAUGUCAAGCUGUUGACUGUGGUCCUCUUGCUGUCCCACAAAAUGGAUCCAAACUCGGAAGCUUGACAGUGUUCCCCAGUAGGAUUAAAUUCAACUGUGACGAAGGGUUUCUUCUUCGUGGUUCAUCGUCACGUGUCUGCCAGGCCAACAGGACAUGGAGUGGAAUCCCUACACAAUGUGAAGCCAUAGACUGUGGUCCUUUAUCUGUUCCCAUGAAUGGAUCCCUGCUCGGCAACAAAACAUUCUAUCCGAACAUCAUAACAUUCGUAUGUGAUGAAGGAUUCGAUAUCAUCGGAUCUACUGAACGAAAGUGUUUAUCAAAUGGAAAAUGGAGUGGUUCAAUAACAUCUUGUAAAGCUGUAGAUUGUGGACGUCUUGCUACACCUCUCAAUGGAUCUGUGUUUGGCUCAUCUACCGUCUUUCCAAAUAAGGUCUCAUUCCAAUGCAAUGAAGGGUUCCUUCUAAGAGGACCUUCAGUUCGAGUUUGCCAGUCAAAUAGAACCUGGAGCGGAGAAGAGACUAAAUGUCAAGCAAUAGAUUGUGGUUCCCUCGAUGUGCCUACCAAUGGGUCCCUCCUUGGCGACCUUACAGUUUUUCCAAACAAGAUUAGAUUCACAUGUGAUGAGGGAUUUGACCUCCUGGGAUCUCCAAUGAGAACCUGCCUGUCAAACGGGACAUGGAGUGGCUCUAGAGUAUCAUGCAAAGCUGUUGAUUGUGGCUCUCUUGCUGUACCAAUGAAUGGAUCUUCAUCUGGAUCUCUAACGACUUACCCCAACAAAUUCGUGUUCACGUGCGAUAAGGGCUUUAUUCUGAUUGGUUCGUCAGUGCGCACGUGCCUUAGCAACAGAACGUGGAGUGGACCAAUGACGCGCUGUCAAGCUGUUGAUUGCGGUCCUCUUGCUGUCCCUAUAAAUGGCACAUCCAAGGGUUCCUUAACAUUCUACCCAAACGUUAAAACCUUUCACUGCGAUAGAGGGUUCAUCUUAAGUGGAUCGUCUACCAGACAAUGUCAAGCCAGUGGAACAUGGAGUGGCGACAAAGCAGUCUGUACAGAAAUGGUUUCGCCUGUGGAGAAAGAACAGUUUUCCCUCACUCCAUUAAAUUCCAUUGUGAUUCGGGGUUCGUGCUGAUCGGCUCGCCCGUGCGACGAUGUCAAGCAAAUGGUGUUUGGAGUGGGACAACCACUUACUGCCGAGCUGUUGACUGUGGUGCUCUAGAAGCCCCUAUGAACGGGACAAAGAAAGGAAGUCAAACUGUAUUCCCGAAUGUUGUUCAGUUUGGUUGUGACAAGGGUUUCAUACUUCAAGGUUCAAGUGAUAGAAUUUGUCAAGCGA
rnacentral:misc_RNA from 1 species